GGAUCCAGACUUUGAUUAUGGCUCAGGAUGAACGCUAGCUACAGGCUUAACACAUGCAAGUCGAGGGGAAACGAUAUUGGAAGCUUGCUUCCGAUAGGCGUCGACCGGCGCACGGGUGAGUAACACGUAUCCAACCUGCCCAUCACUUGGGGAUAACCUUGCGAAAGUAAGACUAAUACCCAAUGACGUCCAUAGAAGACAUCUGAAAUGGAUUAAAGAUUCAUCGGUGAUGGAUGGGGAUGCGUCUGAUUAGCUUGUUGGCGGGGUAACGGCCCACCAAGGCGACGAUCAGUAGGGGUUCUGAGAGGAAGGUCCCCCACAUUGGAACUGAGACACGGUCCAAACUCCUACGGGAGGCAGCAGUGAGGAAUAUUGGUCAACGGGCGAGAGCCUGAACCAGCCAAGUAGCGUGCAGGAUGACGGCCCUAUGGGUUGUAAACUGCUUUUAUAAGGGAAUAAAGUGAGUCUCGUGAGACUUUUUGCAUGUACCUUAUGAAUAAGGACCGGCUAAUUCCGUGCCAGCAGCCGCGGUAAUACGGAGGGUCCGGGCGUUAUCCGGAUUUAUUGGGUUUAAAGGGAGCGUAGGCCGGAGACUAAGCGUGUUGUGAAAUGUAGACGCUCAACGUCUGCACUGCAGCGCGAACUGGUUUCCUUGAGUACGCACAAAGUGGGCGGAAUUCGUGGUGUAGCGGUGAAAUGCUUAGAUAUCACGAAGAACUCCGAUUGCGAAGGCAGCUCACUGGAGCGCAACUGACGCUGAAGCUCGAAAGUGCGGGUAUCGAACAGGAUUAGAUACCCUGGUAGUCCGCACGGUAAACGAUGGAUGCCCGCUGUUGGUCUGAAUAGGUCAGCGGCCAAGCGAAAGCAUUAAGCAUCCCACCUGGGGAGUACGCCGGCAACGGUGCAACUCAAAGGAAUUGACGG
rnacentral:rRNA from 1 species